AUUAAUUAUCCUAUUAUUAUUGUAUACUACUCUUCGUCUUCUUGUGACUCUCGAUGGCUUCGCAGUCCCAGGAUGAAUCCACUUCCAUACAAGACAUCUUCGACGCUGCCCUCAAUCUUGAAGACACCCACUACAAGUCCGGCUACGACGAGGGGUUCUCCGACGGCUUACUCACCGGAAAAGACGAGGCCCGCUACGUGGGCCUCAAAUCCGGGUUCGAAACCGGCGAGGAACUAGGGUUUUACAGAGGCUGUAUAGAUGUAUGGAACUCAGCAAUUAAGAUUGACCCUUUAUGUUUCUCUACCAGGGUGCAAAAAAGUAUUAAACAGAUGGAUGAGUUAGUGAGUAAGUACCCAUUUAAUGAUCCUGAGAAUGAGUUAGCUACUGAUGUUGUGGAGGGCUUGAGGUUGAAGUUUAAAGCUGUUUGUGCGACGUUGAAUGUGAAGCUGGAGUAUGAUGGGUAUCCGAAGAGCUCGGAUGUGGGUUUUUGAGUGGAGUUUUAGUUGCACUCCAAGUGUUUGAUGAUUAGUCUCACUGAGCUUUGAUUUCGAUGUUACUUGUAAUAAGUAUUGUGGUUGUUAAUGUUUUAGUUUCAAAGGUGGUAUUUUGUUGAAUUAGUAGCCAACGGGUCUAAAAAAUUUCGCAUUUGUGUAUAUGAUUUACUGAAAAUACAUAUCUAUAUAAUCUUGCGGGAUCGUUAUGCAUUGUUUUUUGGGUUUUGUGAUGAUGAGUUCAUAAUUUGUGGGAUCUUUCAAUUUGGAACAGUUUAUGGAUGAUUUUAUGCAGAUGUGAGAAUAGUUAUCCCUGUUUUCAUUAUUUUCAUUUUCAUAGUGUUUCUAGUGAUUUGCUGCAUUUUUAUUUUGUUUAUUGCAGCAUGUCACUUGUUGCCUUAUGUCUUGGUGCUAAUUUACUUACAGUUUACUAGCUUGUUAUCUGCCUCACUUGUUUGUAAAUGCUUAUUCCAUAUUGUUUGCAAUUUCGUAUUGUUUUUAGAGAUUUAUGAUCCGGUUAUCUUUCACUGAAAUUUUCUUUGGCACAUUGUGUUAAUUAGCGAUUCUUUUUACCUUCUAUUAGCUUAAUUUAUUUCACCCUUUGAUGUUUCUUCUUCUUCUUCUUUUUACCUUGUACAUUCACAAUAUUUUUUAAAAUAAAAAAAAAUUCGUUGUAGUAUAAUUUUAAUGUUUCAUUAGUGGCUUAAUAAAGUGUGUAUUUUUUUUCCUUUGCUAGCUUAUUAUCUAUGGCUUUCUUGUUUUACCAAUAUGUAUAUCUAUGCAUCUGGCUUAGAUAAGCUUAUGGAUUACCAUUUUCUCCUCACUUCUAUCACGCAUUAUCCAGUCACCAAAUGUGAUGUGUGUUGGGUUCAGACUAAGAUCAACUCUGGUAAUAUAUUGCUUUAAUAUGUUCACGUUUGUUGAUUUUUUGUAACACUUCCACUAAAAAUUUAUUCUAUUAAAACAAAACCAAUAGGAAAUAUAAGUAGAUUGAAUAUCUAGCACCAAAAAUUCUCGUUUUUCUGUUUCAUGAUAUUUAAAAGCUCAGUCUGAUAUAUCAUAUAUGUAUAUAUGCCUGUGUGUAUCUCUGAGGAAGAAGUCUUUAUUAGGUUUUGUCUAAUCUGCACUAGCUAAUUUCUAUUCUUUACAAUGUCCAUUCAGUCAAUGCAAUUGAUUUCAAGAAAUCUUAGGUUUAGCUAUAGCUUUUCAUUAUCGUCAGUUAACCACUGCUCUUUUUAUUUCAAAAUCGUGUGCAAUUUUAUUCUCUUGAUUUCCAAAUUGUUUUUGGUUCCAGUGUUCUCUCAUUGUAUCCUCAAAUGUGCAGUCUUAAUCUUUUUUAUUUUUCAUUGUAAUAGCCCUUCUACUUUUUCACCUUUCGUUUUCUUCACAUGCUUUUUUUUUAUUCUCUUAGAUUUACUUGUAUUUAAUAAGGUGUGUAUGUUAAAUGUCUUUUUAUUGUUUUUAUUGCACUUUUUCUCUGUAGUAUUGAAAUAAUCAGUGGUUCAAAUCUACCACUAUUUGUCUGAACUUCUGUUUGUGUUUGCUAAUGUUUGAUCUUAUUUGGGUUCAUUGUUUUUUUAAUAAAUACCCGUAAGCUUCUACUUCACCAUAUAUGAGGAUUUUACUAGGUUUAUAUAUUCUGUAUACUAAUAAGUUUCUGUUAUUAAUACCAAACGGUUUCUUUGAUUGGUGUUCUAUAGCUCUUAAUGAAUUUUAGGAGUUCAUCCUCCGUGGUGGUUCUUUAACAUUUUUUAAUAUUAAUAUUCUGGUUUACAAUCUUCACUGAUAUUUAUUUUCAUGAUUUAAUAUCUAUGUCUUUCAUUAACUGAAUUUUCAUUAUAGAUUUUUCCCAUUUUAAGUUGUUUAUAAAGAAUUGGCAGAUCCAUUUGUUGAGUUAGUACAACUGAACUUGAUAGUGAUUUGUGAGCUGGCAUAUAUACCUCAUGUUGCAAUCUACUGAAGCCAAUGUUUCAUCAAAUUGAUUACAAGUGUGGACAUUUCUCCUACUUUCAUGAAUGUUAAUAGAACAGACAUCCCAGACACACUCUGCAUCCUUGUUCUUUUUUUCAGUUUUGCAGGUUAGUACCCAUUCCGCAAUUUCUGUAGAUCAUGAUACCUCAGUCCGUUCUUAGUGGUGCACAUUGAGACUUAUUGUCCUGUGCUGUAGUUUCAGUUACUAUUUGAUCACCCAAGUUUCUUGGAUCACAUGAUCUGACUGGAUCCUGUAAAAAGGACAAUCCAGGACUGUUCUUUGGCCAGCCAGAUAAUUAAAUUUCCUAUCGAAGACUCGAACUUUACUUGAUUAUGAUUAUUUUCAUCUUCCAUUCUGAAGAUGGUCACUUGGAUCACCAGUAUGUCUCACUUGGAAGCCGGAUACAAGUUCGAUGUAACGUAGAUUGAACAAUUAUCUGAGUUCAUGUAGUAGUGAAACUAAUUUUACUAAUUUAGUGACUAGUACAGAGUACAGCAGCUGAGGCUGAGUGAUUAUGUUACACUGAUUCAGUUAAUCCAGUAUCUGUCAACACUUUCCAACCGUGGACUGAAAAAAUACAAAAAAGAGAAGAAAAGAAAGAGAGAUCCUGAAUUAGUUGGGUGUCUGAACCUGAUUAGUUUGUUGCAUAUGGGUGAUGUUCUUUGUAAUAAUAUAUUCAGUUGCCUUACUUUUCUCCCAGAUGAGGUAUGAUUGGAUUAGUGGGCCAGGAAAGGGGUCUCUUUUGGGCUUGGCCCCAUCACAUGGCUAUACUGUACU